rnacentral:lncRNA from 1 species
UACCUUCCUUCUCUCUUUUACUCCCUAGUCAUGUGUUUGCUGCACCAGGCUUGGCACCAUGACCCAUGACACUGGGGUCUCAGCACAAGUCCAGAAGUAUAGGAUCAAAGUCUCAGACACUUCUAAGUCUUGCAGAUUAAAUGUUUCCUCCAUGUAAGUUGGCUAACUCGGGUCUUUGUUGCAGUCAUAGACACUAACAAACCAUGAAACCAUCUCUUUGUCACAGCAAAGAGUGACAUUUUCUGUCUCCUUCCCAGGGAAACGCUGGAAAGGAAAACAAAUGAAUGAAUGCUGCUUAGUCACAACCCUGGGGGAAAUUGGAGGUGCCACUACAUGGAAAGUCAACAAAGAGUCUUCAGCCAUCUUCUCCAUUACACUAUCAUUUAUUAGACUUGCUGAGACAAAGGGAGACUGAAUGGAGUCCUGAAGUCAACGUGUGAA